rnacentral:SRP_RNA from 1 species
GCUGGGUGUGAUGGAGCACAUGUGUAACUCCUGCUCCUGGGAGGCUGAGAUUAGUGCCUGCUUGAACUUAAGAAAGGCUGAGCUCCAGUGUUCUAGGCCCACUGGGUAUCUACAGUAAAUCCUGCAACAGUGUGGUGAGCCCUGGAGAGCAGGGGCCACCAGGUGGCCUAAGGAGGGGCAGAGCAGCCUGGGUUGGAAAUGGAGCAGGUCAAAACUGCCAUGUUGAUCAGCAGUAGGAUUGGGCCGGUGAGUGGCUGUUGUACUUGUAGCCUGGGUGAAUCAGGGAGGGAGACCUAGUUUCC